UGGAAUUAUUUGAGGAGAUGGAGAGCAUAAACAGAAUCGCACAGCAAGAGGGAUGCUCCAAUGCAGCUUCAUUUCAAAAUGAAAUAAUCCAAGCUCUGGAGUAAUUGAAGAGCAGCAAGCAGAAAAUAAGCGUUCAAUCAAAGACCAAUAAAAGCACUAUGGUCAUAUAAGCAAAUAGGUUAAGACUCUAUCUUGAUUUGCCUUACUUUAGAUGAGUUUGUAUUGUUAUACUUGCAUAGUUUGUAAGUUUGUUCACUUUACUUUGUAAGGCAAUAGACACUUUGAAUUAAAAAUACUUUUUUCAACAAA